rnacentral:rRNA from 1 species
AUUGAACGCUGGCGGCAUGCUUUACACAUGCAAGUCGAACGGUAACAGGGGCUUCGGCCCGCUGACGAGUGGCGAACGGGUGAGUAAUGUAUCGGAACGUGCCCAGUCGUGGGGGAUGACUACUCGAAAGAGUAGCUAAUACCGCAUGAGAACUGAGGUUGAAAGCGGGGGAUCUUCGGACCUCGCGCUACUGGAGCGGCUGAUAUCAGAUUAGGUAGUUGGUGAGGUAAAGGCUUACCAAGCCUGCGAUCUGUAGCUGGUCUGAGAGGACGACCAGCCACACUGGGACUGAGACACGGCCCAGACUCCUACGGGAGGCAGCAGUGGGGAAUUUUGGACAAUGGGCGCAAGCCUGAUCCAGCAAUGCCGCGUGCAGGACGAAGGCCUUCGGGUUGUAAACUGCUUUUGUACAGAACGAAAUGUCUCUGGCUAAUACCUGGGGAAGAUGACGGUACUGUAAGAAUAAGCACCGGCUAACUCCGUGCCAGCAGCCGCAGUAA